rnacentral:rRNA from 1 species
UACGUAGGGGGCGAGCGUUGUCCGGAUUUAUUGGGCGUAAAGAGCUCGUAGGCGGUUUGGUAAGUUGGAUGUGAAAUCUCCAGGCUCAACUUGGAGGGGUCAUUCGAUACUGCCAUGACUAGAGUUCGGUAGGGGAGUGUGGAAUUCCUGGUGGAGCGGUGAAAUGCGCAGAUAUCAGGAGGAACACCCGUAGCGAAGGCAGCACUCUGGGCCGGAACUGACGCUGAGGAGCGAAAGCGUGGGGAGCGAACAGG